GUCCACGCCGUAACGAUGAUAACUAGCUGUCCGGGCACUUGGUGCUUGGGUGGCGCAGCUAACGCAUUAAGUUAUCCGCCUGGGAGUACGGUCGCAAGAUUAAACUCAAAGGAAUUGACGGGGCCCUGCACAAGCGGUGGAGCAUGUGGUUUAAUUCGAAGCAACGCGCAGAACCUUACCAGCCUUUGACAUGCCUAGUAUGGUUUCCAGAGAUGGAUUCCUUGUCUUCGGACGCUAGGACACAGGUGCUGCAUGGCUGUCGU
rnacentral:rRNA from 1 species